CCUACGGGAGGCAGCAGUGGGGAAUAUUGGUCAAUGGGCGCAAGCCUGACCCAGCAACGCCGCGUGAAGGAAGAAGGCUUUCGGGUUGUAAACUUCUUUUAAUGGGGACGAACAAAUGACGGUACCCCUUGAAUAAGCCACGGCUAACUACGUGCCAGCAGCCGCGGUAGUACGUAGGUGGCAAGCGUUAUCCGGAUUUAUUGGGUGUAAAGGGCGUGUAGGCGGGAGCGUAAGUCAGAUGUGAAAGCUCAGGUCUCAACCCUGAGCCUGCAUUUGAAACUGUGUUUCUUGAGUGCUGGAGAGGCAAUCGGGAUUCCGGGGGUAGCGGUGAAAUGCGUAGAUAUCAGGAGGAACACCAGUGGCGAAGGCGGAUUGCUGGACAGUCACUGACGCUGAGGCGCGAAAGCGUGGGGAGCAAACAGGAUUAGAUACCCCUGUAGUC
rnacentral:rRNA from 1 species